CGCAUAAUUGCAAAACGAAUCCAACAGACCGCCUCUCUCGCCGUCGAAGUGGGGUAGAUCCAGCGGCUGUCUCUGAAUAACGUCCAAACGUAUCAACGAGAUGUCGAUUGGGACACCAAGGCUCGGAUGAUGGAAUACCACAGACCAAUCCAUGUCCUUGGCAGAAACUUAUGGCUGCGGAGCCGAUAUGAUCUUCGUGAAGAUAAUAGCAAGGAUCUGGUGCAUUUAAUUGCGAUAACUCUUCCGUGAUGCCUCUAGUAUUAUGUUUCCAUACUUGAAACUCGGACGAUACAAUUUUGUCGUUUCUACGUAGGCUCAGCUGAAUCAAUUGCCCAAAUACUUUAAAAGUUAAUGGAAUCUGUGCACAAAUCGGAUAAUCGAUAUAUUAAAAACCUUUUCUUUUUCUCGAUAUCUACUCGGGAAAAAAAGUUCAUUAUAACAAUCCAUAAUCAAAUAAAAAUCAAAUGUAUAUACAUA